UGGCCCUCCAGUAGGUUCAGAGGGGCCUGGCGACUUCUGUGUCCUUACUGGUUUAUAUGUUGUGGCUGAGAAGAUGGUAGAGGUGACACUGCCUGUCCAGAGGGGCCUUCUGGAACACCCUGGGAAUUAGGCUGUUGUGAUCACCGCAGAAGAUACAGCUCUGGUGGAUUCCAGAGGCCCCUAUGUCCAGCGUAUGCUCAGAGUAGGGAAAUAACAUCCCGGUGGGCAGGAGCGUGCUGGGAAGACCAAUGGCCAUCUCUUCCAGGGGACCCUACCCUCCCUGGCAUACCAGCCAUCCUUUGUCACCUUCAAGUCACAUGUCAGAGGAAAUCUCACUAGGCCUUCCUGUGCUCCUGGCUGCCAUCUCAGCCCUGGUGUAUCUUGUGGCCUCUACGACAAUGAAGCAUCAUGAAGUCACAGAGUGCCCUUGGGCAGGGCCCUGUCUGGUGUGCAAGAAAGCGAGGAUGAAGAAAGAAGCCCAGGUGGCAAGGUGUGCAUGAGGAUCUCUCAGCCACAGCCCCGCUGCCCUGGCCAGGGAUGGGCCUCUCAGCCCAGCCCCUUCCAGACCUGGCCCACCAGAGUUCAGAGUUCCAGCACCAACAGCUCAACACGCAGAGGAGGCGAAUAGGCAGAGGAGCGCUUCUGCCGUUAUCGCCGGGAUCUGAUGCCCAGCUCUCCUCCCCGCCUCGCGGAACGCCUUUCCAGAGAGGCCGCCGUCAGUUUGGUACCUUCCCAUCCUGUCCUCCCAGCUGUGAGCUCCUAACCACCCACCACGGCUCAGCUCUAGUAGGAAUUUAAUUGCUUUCAAUUACACCCCCUCACCAAGAGGUGAGGGCUUUGAAGAUUAACGUAUGGAGAGAAAUUAAUUAUUUAAGGAAAUGCGUUUGAACUUGAGGUUCUUCACACCUGACAAAGGAUGAACUGCAGCUGGCGUCUGCGUGAUGCGUUAUAAUCUGCAAACUUGCACGUUGUGUUUCAGUCUUAGUAGAGUUGGUAGAUCUCUGAUACCGGUGCCUCGCUCAGUCUCACAGGCAGGGAUGCCAAGGCACAGAGAGGUGGUUGUGUUUCAGUCUUACUAGAGUUGGUAGAUCUCUGAUACCGGUGCCUCGCUCAGUCUCACAGGCAGGGAUGCCAAGGCACAGAGAGGUGGAAUGCCUGCCUCAGGGUCACACAGCUCCGAAAGACUAGAGCAGGAAUUUGAACCCAAGUCUCGAUGACUUUUAAGUCCAGCAUUCCUCUGGGGCCUGUUCGGCAGACUGAUGUCUUCUUUCCCGUAGAGAGCAUUCAGUGAGGCCGUCUGUGACUCUGGCUCUUGCUAGUCAUGAUGUAUUGAUUUGAGGCUGAGAAACAACCAUUUGCACAUGUAUUUAGGAAGAAAAAUAAGUCCCAUGAUGUCAGUGGGGACAUGGAAGUGAUCAGAAAUUACAUGCAAGACUCGCUAUUGCUUUGGGCAGGAUACGGGCUAUUAGUUAUGGAACCAGUUGAUGACGAUGGCACUAUAAUGAGGCGAUUUAACGGGCUCCCGCGGUCUCAUCCCCAUCUUUAUGUAUGCGCGGAACCAGACAGCCAUUUAGCUCAAUGUCAUCAAGCCCAAUUGUCUUCCUGGCGAGAUCUCAUUAAAUGCCUGGACUUGAUGAAAGUUUUUGAAGUAAUGCAACGCUGGCUGUGUGCACAUGCCUCGUAAGGAUAAAGAGUAUGCUUCCCGGCCUCCCUUGCAGCUAGGUGUGACCGUGUGACCAAUUCUGGCCAAAGGAUGUCAGUGGAAGGUCGACAUGGCAGCAUCUGGGGAUCUAUUUGGCUAGCAGGAGGUGGGCUCUCAUGCUCCCAUUCUCCAGAUGAGGAAACUGAGGCCCAGAGAGACUUUGUACCAUGUUCAGGAUUUUGCAGCUGGCCAUCGGUCUCCUCGGCCAAAAUGGUGCCCUGGGAAAAUUCAGGCCUCUACAAAGUGGUUAGUGGACCCUGAGACCAUUUCAAAACAUGACUAGAAUGACACGUUUUCAAAUGCUGCCGACUCAGUUGGGGGCGUUGCA